UACGUAGGGACCUAGCGUUGUCCGGAAUCAUUGGGCGUAAAGCGCGCGUAGGCGGCCCGGUAAGUCCGUUGUAAAAGUCGAAGGCUCAACCUUCGAAAGCCGAUGGAUACUGCCGGGCUAGAGUCCGGAAGAGGCGAGUAGAAUUCCUGGUGUAGCGGUGGAAUGCGCAGAUAUCAGGAGGAACACCAAUGGCGAAGGCAGCUCGCUGGGACGUGACUGACGCUGAGACGCGAAAGCGUGGGGAGCAAACAGG
rnacentral:rRNA from 1 species